UGCCGGUGCCGGAAGACCGCUCGCCGCAGGCGAGAGGAAAGUCCGAACUGCAGAUCUGAUCCGAAAGUGCCACCUUCCGCAUGCGGGCGGCGCCCUGAAGAUCGGAUGCAAGAGCAGGGCGACCUGAGUCAAUCAGGUUGGGGCGUCCGGAAGGACGCUUCAGGAAAGUGCCACAGAAACAAUACCACCCUGAGCGAGGCCGAAAGGCCGAGUCGAAGGGAAAGGGUGAAAACGGGAGGUAAGAGCUCCCGUCUCCGGAGAGGAAUCUCCCGAGAGGGCAAACCCCGUCCGCAGCAAGGUCACGUAGAGGGAGGAUGCCGCCUUCGGCGGCUAUAGACUGUGCUCAGUCGAAUCUCCCCGGGUCGACCGCAUCAGAGGAAUGGUCUUCAUGGGCCGGCGCGCGUGCGAAUGCGCGCUCCCUGACAGAAUUCGGCUUACAGGCCCCGGCAAUUC
rnacentral:RNase_P_RNA from 2 species